rnacentral:rRNA from 1 species
CCUACGGGAGGCUGCAGUGGGGAAUAUUGGACAAUGGGGGGAACCCUGAUCCAGUCAUGCCGCGUGUGUGAAGAAGGCCCUCGGGUUGUAAAGCACUUUCAGUGAGGAAGAACGCCUGGUGGUUAAUACCCAUCAGGAAAGACAUCACUCACAGAAGAAGCACCGGCUAACUCCGUGCCAGCAGCCGCGGUAAUACGGAGGGUGCGAGCGUUAAUCGGAAUUACUGGGCGUAAAGCGCGCGUAGGUGGCUUGAUAAGCCGGUUGUGAAAGCCCCGGGCUCAACCUGGGAACGGCAUCCGGAACUGUCAAGCUAGAGUGCAGGAGAGGAAGGUAGAAUUCCCGGUGUAGCGGUGAAAUGCGUAGAGAUCGGGAGGAAUACCAGUGGCGAAGGCGGCCUUCUGGACUGACACUGACACUGAGGUGCGAAAGCGUGGGUAGCAAACAGGAUUAGAUACCCUUGUAGUC